rnacentral:rRNA from 1 species
GGGGUGAAAGGCCAAUCAAACUUGGAGAUAGCUCGUACUCCCCGAAAUAUAUUUAGGUAUAGCGUCUGGUUUUGUCUGUCCGGAGGUAGAGCACUGAUUAGGCUAGGGCCCUUCACCGGGUACCAACCCUAGACAAACUCCGAAUGCCGGCACAGAGCCACCAGGCAGUCAGUGGCAGGGUGAUAACGUCCUGUCGCGAGAGGGAAACAACCCAGACCACCAGCUAAGGCCCCUAAAUAACAGCUAAGUUGAUCAAAGAAAGUUGAGUUGCUCAGACAACUAGGAGGUUGGCUUAGAAGCAGCCAUUCCUUUAAAGAG